rnacentral:antisense_RNA from 1 species
CGUUAUGGUGGCUGUGCGUAGGGCGCCCUCGGGCGCGCCGGUUUCCCAGAUCCCCGGUCUACUAACCUGCGCAUAGCUGCCUCCACU